GGCCUAUUACCGAUACACCUUGUGAAAGAGUAACGCGACAGGAAAAGGGAACUGGCUGAGUCGCCAUCGCGUGGGUGUUAUCGACGAUCAAUAAAUUCGGCAACGUGAUUCACCGCAAUGGUAUUGCACAGAAGCGUGAAAGAGGAAGAAAGUUGGCCACGUUGUUAAACGCAAUUCGGCUAUCAAACGGAGAAGUUGGCAUGAGAAAGCGCAAAGCCGCGCCACCACAACCUGGUAAUGAAGUUGGCAAGUAGAGAUACCAAGUCGACGUUUCCAAUACCGCAGAACUCCGCCUUUUCUACGUUUUAAAUCGACGAUGCUAAAACCAUAGGAAAAUUGUUUUAGGAACGAUGGAAAUUUCGCGCGGAACGACACUACGAUCGUAGUGUUCGUUGAAUUUUUCCUACAGACGCGUUAACUCUAAGUCUACGCUUCAAGCCGUAUCCGCGCUUAAAAGAAACGAAUCUUUUACUAUGUACAUAUACUAUGGCUCACGAAAUUGUUUGAAUACUUAUCAUAGUAAACUUUUAUAUAUU
rnacentral:misc_RNA from 1 species